UACGUAGGGUGCGAGCGUUGUCCGGAAUUACUGGGCGUAAAGAGCUCGUAGGUGGUUUGUCGCGUUGUUCGUGAAAACUCGCAGCUCAACUGUGGGCGUGCGGGCGAUACGGGCAGACUGGAGUACUGCAGGGGAGACUGGAAUUCCUGGUGUAGCGGUGGAAUGCGCAGAUAUCAGGAGGAACACCGGUGGCGAAGGCGGGUCUCUGGGCAGUAACUGACGCUGAGGAGCGAAAGCGUGGGGAGCGAACAGG
rnacentral:rRNA from 1 species